rnacentral:rRNA from 1 species
UACGGGGGGGGCAAGCGUUGUUCGGAAUUACUGGGCGUAAAGGGCUCGUAGGCGGCCAACUAAGUCAGACGUGAAAUCCCUCGGCUUAACUCCGAAACUGCAUUCGAUACUGCCGUGCUUGAGGACUGGAGAGGAGACUGGAAUUUACGGUGUAGCGGUGAAAUGCGUAGAUAUCGUAAGGAAGACCAGUGGCGAAGGCGGGUCUCUGGACAGUUCCUGACGCUGAGGCACGAAGGUCAGGGGAGCAAACGGG